GCAAGCGCAAUAUAGCGCCCUCUGCGGCUCGGCGCCCGCAGGCACCCCGUAGCGCGGCGUCUCCAGGGCGACCGUGGGCCCAAGCCGCCUCCAUUGUUGGCGGCGCCCCCUACUCUCAGCGGCCGGGCUGCAGGCGUGCAGCAGAAGGGUCCGCAGGUGACUCCAGACCAAGGAGGAUGAGCCGUGGCCGCUGGAGGGCUACAGAUGGAGGGAAGCUGCACCUGUGGGGCUCCUGCUGGGGCUGCUGAGGAUGCAGAGGAGGGUGCUAAUGGAGUCAGUGGUUUGCCUGCCUCCCCUUCCAGAGAUGUUCAUAGGAUUAUUGAGAGAAUCAUCUUUUCUCCCUCACCAAGUUUGGACUUGAGUCAAAGUGGUCUGCAUCACAUGGGAGAGGUCUUCAAAAUCCCCAACCUUCAACAAUUACAUCUUCAGAGGAAUGCCCUCUGCAUGAUUCCUAGAGGUUUCUUCCAGCUGCUGCCAAACCUGACUUGGCUCGACCUCCGGUACAACAAAAUCAAGGCGCUUCCCUCUGGGAUUGGCUCUCACAAGCAUUUGAAAACUUUGCUUUUAGAAAGAAAUCCUAUCAAAGUGUUACCUGUGGAGCUGGGGAACGUGGCCACACUGAAGGCACUGAACUUAAGACACUGCCCUCUGGAAUUCCCUCCUCAGCUCAUCGUGCAGAAAGGAGUGGUGGCCAUCCUGACCUUCCUGCGGAUCUGUGCGGUGGAGCACUCCUUCCCCAGAGAGUCAGCUGCUUCAGAUGGCCCGGAUGCCUCACUUCAGAGUGUUGGUCAUACAUGUGUGAUGUCUAGGUUGAAUCCUCGGAAGCAGCUCCAAGAUCUGGAUGCACGAGCCAGUGGCUGGCUUGGAGAGGCUCCACCAGUUAAGAAGCUGGACCUGAGUGAGCUUCCAGACCCCCAGCUGGAUUUGUCCCAGGACUGCAUGCCUAAUGAGAAAACCAGGAGCCCUUGGGACCUGAAAGCCACGCUGGGGGGACAGGAGGCGGACUUCUUCCCGCCUGUGGAAGGGCUCCACCUGAGCGAGUUCCGGAGGCCCCCUGAUGCCACAGAGCACUGGGCAAGCGAGGAGGAGAUCAGGCGCUUCUGGAAGCUGAGACAGGAGAUCGUGGAGAACGAGAAGGCUCAGGUCCUGGAGCAGCAGCUCCUGCCCAUCGAGCUGCCCCCAAAUCUCAAGGCAGCAUUAAGCAGUAAGGGGAAAGAGCACCUAAAGCCACGGAGCCUACUCAGGAGGAAGACUACCUCCUUCAAGAGCAUGUUACCCGACCUCUCGUUGCCGUACCAAUCGUCGCUGUACCAGACAGUGGCUCGAGUGAGAAGCCUGGAGGAGAGUCGGGUCUUGGCCCUCAGGGACCUCCGGGAGAAGCAGGUUCUGGUGGAGCAGCGGAAAAGAGAAAAGAGACCCUGCAGGAGUGGAGGGAGCAGGCCCAGGUGAUGAGGAAGAGGCAGGAGACGCUCACUCAGCUGCUGCCCCUGCAGAGGAGCAUGAUGGCAUCCAAGUACCCAUUCGCCGUGGAUCUGGUGGACAGUGGGAAAGCCCCACCCAGUCCAUCUGGAAGAAGGAGACUCGGCAAAGAGAGGACAUCACACACAAGUGAGAUCAGAGGCGGUGCCAGCCUGGAGGAGCUAGUGAAGCAUCAGGAGCGGCCAGUGUGGGCACGCUGCAGCUCCAGAGGCGUAGCGCCACUGCCGGAGCUGAGGACCGCCACCCAGGACCUGGACUCUGCCAAGAAGCUGCAGGAGGAAGCGGUGACACUGAGACUGGACUCGAGCUCCAGCAGAGCUCUCUCAGGGGGCCUUGCUCACCCAUCAGCAUCACAGCCUCAGAAUAUAUUUUUUAACGGGAAAUAAUAAGAGCCAGAAGAUGUUUACAGCACUGAUGACAGCAUCUUCAGACGUGGGGAACUGGCUUUUGGCAGGGGGACUAAUGUCAGGUGCUGGGUAUUGUCCUUGUGAUUUAUUUCACAGGCACCUGUUGUUUUUAAAUAAACCUGGGUUUCUUUUCUGAGGCUGUAGGAGGCUUAAAUUGCAUUAAAAGGAGAGUACUGUG